GACGAACGCUGGCGGCGUGCUUAACACAUGCAAGUCGAACGGUGAAGCUCCAGCUUGCUGGGGUGGAUCAGUGGCGAACGGGUGAGUAACACGUGAGCAACCUGCCCCUGACUCUGGAAUAAGCGCUGGAAACGGCGUCUAAUACUGGAUACGAGAAGGGUCCGCAUGGGCACUUUCUGGAAAGUUUUUCGGUUGGGGAUGGGCUCGCGGCCUAUCAGCUUGUUGGUGAGGUAGUGGCUCACCAAGGCGACGACGGGUAGCCGGCCUGAGAGGGCGACCGGCCACACUGGGACUGAGACACGGCCCAGACUCCUACGGGAGGCAGCAGUGGGGAAUAUUGCACAAUGGGCGAAAGCCUGAUGCAGCGACGCCGCGUGAGGGAUGACGGCCUUCGGGUUGUAAACCUCUUUCAGCAGGGAAGAAGCGAAAGUGACGGUAACUGCAGAAGAAGCACCGGCUAACUACGUG
rnacentral:rRNA from 1 species